CCAAGCAGCUCGGUACCCGGCUAGCUGAAGUGACAGGCGGCAGCCACGGACACCCCGGGGACGGACACCAGAGGGAGGACAGGCGACAGGCACCCCCAAGCGAGCGGGGAACCCCCUGGGAGGGGCCCGCAUGACACACGGGUCUCAGCCCCGCGACCAGCAGGCGGAGGAGAGACGGGAUUUGGGGGCCGAGAUCGGGGAGCCGGGGCACCGCGGAGGCAUGGGCUCUCUCCCCUCCACCUCCCUUUGAGGACAGAGCAUUCUUCCUGCAGCGGGGCCAGCCAACCACUCCCCCCCCCCCCCAAAUGGGGUGGAUUAUCUAUUUAGAUGUAAGGAAUUCAAAUGUUUGUACAACACCGACAUUCUAAGGCAGCACUGUCUAGCAGUUACAAGACUCCUAUCUAGGAAUGAAGUCUCAUCUCCUGAAAAAGGACCAACUGAUACAAAGGCUGCUGCCCUCUUAACCUAGCAACAAAGGUUACCAUGGACACAUCACCUUGGUGUUCCACUCUGCACUGACUCCCCAUAGAACACCGAGUCCAGUUCAGGAAUUGCUAACGUUCAAAGACCUCUCUGCUUUAUGGGACUGUCCUGAGCUACCAGUGAGAUCACCUCUCCCUUUGCACCCUCGACCAUCCACAACAGCUGAGUUCUACCAGAAUCAUGAAACUAUCAGUGAGUAAAGGGAGUCUCACAAGGGCUGGACACAGAAUUUUCACUUUUUCAUAGGAGCUGGACCUACACUAUUGAACUCACUCCUACU